CUCCUUAGUCCAGCCGCUCUGUUACCAGUGGGGUGGUCUGGAAUUGACUGGAUAUAACACCAUUGCUCUCAUCUUGGACCAUAAUCUUACAUGAGGCCUGCAAGAAAGCUGACAAU
rnacentral:snoRNA from 1 species